rnacentral:rRNA from 1 species
UACGGAGGGAGCUAGCGUUAUUCGGAAUUACUGGGCGUAAAGCGCACGUAGGCGGCUUUGUAAGUUAGAGGUGAAAGCCUGGAGCUCAACUCCAGAAUUGCCUUUAAGACUGCAUCGCUUGAAUCCAGGAGAGGUGAGUGGAAUUCCGAGUGUAGAGGUGAAAUUCGUAGAUAUUCGGAAGAACACCAGUGGCGGAGGCGGCUCACUGGACUGGUAUUGACGCUGAGGUGCGAAAGCGUGGGGAGCAAACAGG